CCCUGUUUCCAGCCAAAAGCUUCCUGUAAUCUAUGAUAAUGUUCCUGAUACAGCAGAGGGUCUGCUAUUAAAUUGUGAAGAAUCAUACGGAUGUGCCACUCAUAGACAAGACCCUUCCCCAGCAUAUGACGAUGUGUUAAAUUCUGCAAAG